AUUGAACGCUGGCGGCAUGCUUUACACAUGCAAGUCGGACGGCAGCACAGAGAAGCUUGCUUCUUGGGUGGCGAGUGGCGAACGGGUGAGUAACAUAUCGGAACGUACCGAGCAGUGGGGGAUAACUAAUCGAAAGAUUAGCUAAUACCGCAUAUCUUCUGAGGAAGAAAGCAGGGGACCAUUUGGCCUUGCGCUGUUUGAGCGGCCGAUAUCUGAUUAGCUAGUUGGUGGGGUAAAGGCCUACCAAGGCGACGAUCAGUAGCGGGUCUGAGAGGAUGAUCCGCCACACUGGGACUGAGACACGGCCCAGACUCCUACGGGAGGCAGCAGUGGGGAAUUUUGGACAAUGGGCGCAAGCCUGAUCCAGCCAUGCCGCGUGUCUGAAGAAGGCCUUCGGGUUGUAAAGGACUUUUGUCAGGGAAGAAAAGGGCGGGGUUAAUACCCCU
rnacentral:rRNA from 1 species